rnacentral:rRNA from 1 species
GACGAACGCUGGCGGCGUGCUUAACACAUGCAAGUCGAACGCUGAAGCUCAGCUUGCUGGGUGGAUGAGUGGCGAACGGGUGAGUAACACGUGAGUAACCUGCCCUCUUCUUUGGGAUAACGCCCGGAAACGGGUGCUAAUACUGGAUAUUCACUGAUUCUCGCAUGGGGGUUGGUGGAAAGGUUUUUUCUGGUGGGGGAUGGGCUCGCGGCCUAUCAGCUUGUUGGUGGGGUGAUGGCCUACCAAGGCUUUGACGGGUAGCCGGCCUGAGAGGGUGACCGGUGACAUUGGGACUGAGAUACGGCCCAGACUCCUACGGGAGUCAGCAGUGGGGAAUAUUGCACAAUGGGCGAAAGCCUGAUGCAGCGACGCCGCGUGAGGGAUGGAGGCCUUCGGGUUGUAAACCUCUUUCGCUCAUGGUCAAGCCGCAGCUUUGGGUUGUGGUGAGGGUAGUGGGUAAAGAAGCGCCGGCUAACUACGUG